rnacentral:rRNA from 1 species
AUUGAACGCUGGCGGCAUGCCUUACACAUGCAAGUCGAACGGCAGCACGGGAGCAAUCCUGGUGGCGAGUGGCGAACGGGUGAGUAAAGUAUCGGAACGUGCCCAGUCGUGGGGGAUAACGUAGCGAAAGUUACGCUAAUACCGCAUACGAUCUAUGGAUGAAAGCGGGGAUCGCAAGACCUCGCGCGAUUGGAGCGGCCGAUAUCAGAUUAGGUAGUUGGUGGGGUAAAGGCUCACCAAGCCGACGAUCUGUAGCUGGUCUGAGAGGAGGACCAGCCACACUGGGACUGAGAUACGGCCCAGACUCCUACGGGAGGCAGCAGUGGGGAAUUUUGGACAAGGGGCGCAAGCCUGAUUCAGCCAUGCCGCGUGCAGGAUGAAGGCCUUCGGGUUGUAAACUGCUUUUGUACGGAACGAAAAGGUUUGACUUAAUACGUUGGACUCAUGACGGUACCGUAAGAAUAAGCACCGGCUAACUACGUGCCAGCAGCCGCCGUAA